rnacentral:lncRNA from 1 species
UCUCCUAACGGCAGGAAAAACCGAAAAGAAGCCCGGCGAAGGACGACCCCACAUGAACUGAAAAGGUCGCCGACGGUCUUGGAAUGGCAUGACACAGGCAAAGAGAAGGAAACAAGUACCCAGCGGGUCAGGAAAAAGAGAAAAAGAAAAUACAUGUCUCGCAAAGCACGGUUCGGGCAGGAUGAACUGGAGGCCGAUCCAAGCUGCAAAUUCCUCUUCCCGUCUCUGUUCUUCUCAGUCGCAUUCUCCAGUGCGUGUAACAUCUCUCGCCCCAUCUCUCUUCAUUCUGUCCCCAAAGUUCCGACCUUAGCGAGAAAGGGGUGGGAUUGAUCUCCGAAGGCGGCGGGGGUAACAACGGCAGUAACGAAGACCUGUUUCAAGAAGAGCCGUAGCCAUGACGGCCGCCACCUGAGACGCUCCGACAAGGUCGGCAUGCGCUACUUNNNNN